AAGGGCAUUCGGUGGAUGCCUUGGCGACAAGAGGCGAUGAAAGACGUGAUACGCUGCGAUAAGCCAUGGGGAGCUGCGAAUAAGCUUUGAUCCGUGGAUUUCUGAAUGGGGCAACCCACUCCGUAUGGAGUACCCUUUAAUGGGAGCAAACCCGGGGAACUGAAACAUCUAAGUACCCGGAGGAAAGGACAUCAACCGAGACUCCGCUAGUAGUGGCGAGCGAACGCGGACCAGGCCAGUGCCUCAAUUGAAUUAACCGGAACCGUCUGGAAAGUCGGGCCUUAGUGGGUGAUAGCCCCGUACGGGUGUUGUGAGAUUGAGGACUUGAGUAGGGCGGGACACGUGAAAUCCUGUCUGAACAUGGGGGGACCACCCUCCAAGCCUAAGUACUCCUUGUCGACCGAUAGCGAACAAGUACCGUGAGGGAAAGGUGAAAA
rnacentral:rRNA from 1 species